rnacentral:rRNA from 1 species
UACAGAGGGUGCGAGCGUUGUUCGGAAUUAUUGGGCGUAAAGCGCGUGUAGGCGGCUUUGCAAGUCGGGUGUGAAAGCCCUCAGCUUAACUGAGGAAGUGCGCCCGAAACUGCAUUGCUUGAGUACCGGAGAGGAUGGCGGAAUUCCCCAAGUAGAGGUGAAAUUCGUAGAUAUGGGGAGGAACACCGGUGGCGAAGGCGGCCACCUGGACGGUAACUGACGCUGAGACGCGAAAGCGUGGGGAGCAAACAGG